UACGGGGGGGGCAAGCGUUGUUCGGAAUUACUGGGCGUAAAGGGCUCGUAGGCGGCCAACUAAGUCAGACGUGAAAUCCCUCGGCUUAACCGGGGAACUGCGUCUGAUACUGGAUGGCUUGAAUCCGGGAGAGGGAUGCGGAAUUCCAGGUGUAGCGGUGAAAUGCGUAGAUAUCUGGAGGAACACCGGUGGCGAAGGCGGCGUUCUGGACUGCAACUGACACUGAGGAACGAAAGCCAGGGGAGCAAACGGG
rnacentral:rRNA from 1 species